rnacentral:rRNA from 1 species
UACGGCUCAGUAACACGUGGAUAACCUGCCCUUGGGUCCGGCAUAACCCCGGGAAACUGGGGAUAAUUCCGGAUAACGCACAUAUGCUGGAAUGCUUUAUGCGUAAAAUGGAUUCGUCUGCCCAAGGAUGGGUCUGCGGCCUAUCAGGUAGUAGUGGGUGUAAUGUACCUACUAGCCAACAACGGGUACGGGUUGUGAGAGCAAGAGCCCGGAGAUGGAUUCUGAGACAUGAAUCCAGGCCCUACGGGGCGCAGCAGGCGCGAAAACUUUACAAUGCGGGAAACCGUGAUAAGGGGACACCGAGUGCCAGCAUCAUAUGCUGGCUGUCCGGGUGUGUAAAAUACACCUGUUAGCAAGGGCCGGGCAAGACCGGUGCCAGCCGCCGCGGUAACACCGGCGGCCCGAGUGGUGAUCGUGAUUAUUGGGUCUAAAGGGUCCGUAGCCGGUUUGGUCAGUCCUCCGGGAAAUCUGAUAGCUCAACUAUUAGGCUUUCGGGGGAUACUGCCAGGCUUGGAACCGGGAGAGGUAAGAGGUACUACAGGGGUAGGAGUGAAAUCUUGUAAUCCCUGUGGGACCACCUGUGGCGAAGGCGUCUUACCAGAACGGGUUCGACGGUGAGGGACGAAAGCUGGGGGCACGAACCGGAUUAGAUACCCGGGUAGUCCCAGCCGUAAACGAUGCUCGCUAGGUGUCAGGCAUGGCGCGACCGUGUCUGGUGCCGCAGGGAAGCCGUGAAGCGAGCCACCUGGGAAGUACGGCCGCAAGGCUGAAACUUAAAGGAAUUGGCGGGGGAGCACA